AUUGAACGCUGGCGGCAUGCUUUACACAUGCAAGUCGGACGGCAGCAUAGAGAAGCUUGCUUCUUGGGUGGCGAGUGGCGAACGGGUGAGUAAUAUAUCGGAACGUACCGAGUAAUGGGGGAUAACUAAUCGAAAGAUUAGCUAAUACCGCAUAUUCUCUGAGGAGGAAAGCAGGGGACCUUCGGGCCUUGCGUUAUUCGAGCGGCCGAUAUCUGAUUAGCUAGUUGGUGGGGUAAAGGCCUACCAAGGCGACGAUCAGUAGCGGGUCUGAGAGGAUGAUCCGCCACACUGGGACUGAGACACGGCCCAGACUCCUACGGGAGGCAGCAGUGGGGAAUUUUGGACAAUGGGCGCAAGCCUGAUCCAGCCAUGCCGCGUGUCUGAAGAAGGCCUUCGGGUUGUAAAGGACUUUUGUCAGGGAAGAAAAAGGAAU
rnacentral:rRNA from 1 species